rnacentral:rRNA from 1 species
GGAUUAGAUACCCUGGUAGUCCACGCUGUAAACGAUGUCGGCUUGGUGUUUGGGGGUGUGAAAGCAUCCUUGAGUACCGUAGCUCACGCGAUAAGCCGACCGCCUGGGGACUACGAGCGCAAGCUUAAAACUCAAAGGAAUUGACGGGGGCCCGCACAAGCAGCGGAGCGUGUGGUUUAAUUCGACAACGCGAAGAACCUUACCCAGGUUUGACAUGUGGCUGCAAGCGCACAGAAAUGUGUGACCUUCGAGGGUGCUACACAGGUGCUGCAUGGCUGUCGUCAGCUCGUGCCG